AUUGAACGCUGGCGGCAUGCCUUACACAUGCAAGUCGAACGGCAGCACGGGAGCAAUCCUGGUGGCGAGUGGCGAACGGGUGAGUAAAGUAUCGGAACGUGGCCAGUCGUGGGGGAUAACGUAGCGAAAGUUACGCUAAUACCGCAUACGAUCUAUGGAUGAAAGCGGGGGAUCGCAAGACCUCGCGCGAUUGGAGCGGCCGAUAUCAGAUUAGGUAGUUGGUGGGGUAAAGGCUCACCAAGCCGACGAUCUGUAGCUGGUCCGAGAGGACGACCAGCCACACUGGGACUGAGACACGGCCCAGACUCCUACGGGAGGCAGCAGUGGGGAAUUUUGGACAAUGGGCGAAAGCCUGAUCCAGCCAUGCCGCGUGCAGGAUGAAGGCCUUCGGGUUGUAAACUGCUUUUGUACGGAACGAAAAGGUUUGGGCUAAUAAGCUGAGCUCAUGACGGUACCGUAAGAAUAAGCACCGGCUAACUACGUGCCAGCCGCCGCAGUAA
rnacentral:rRNA from 1 species